rnacentral:rRNA from 3 species
UACAGAGGGUGCAAGCGUUAAUCGGAAUUACUGGGCGUAAAGCGCGCGUAGGUGGUUCGUUAAGUUGGAUGUGAAAUCCCCGGGCUCAACCUGGGAACUGCAUUCAAAACUGACGAGCUAGAGUAUGGUAGAGGGUGGUGGAAUUUCCUGUGUAGCGGUGAAAUGCGUAGAUAUAGGAAGGAACACCAGUGGCGAAGGCGACCACCUGGACUGAUACUGACACUGAGGUGCGAAAGCGUGGGGAGCAAACAGG